UACAGAGGGUGCGAGCGUUGUUCGGAAUUAUUGGGCGUAAAGGGCGCGUAGGCGGUGCGGCAAGUCACCUGUGAAACCUCUGGGCUUAACCCAGAGCCUGCAGGCGAAACUGCCGUGCUGGAGUGUGGCAGAGGAGACUGGAAUUCCUGGUGUAGCAGUGAAAUGCGUAGAUAUCAGGAGGAACACCGGUGGCGAAGGCGGGUCUCUGGGCCGAUACUGACGCUGAGGAGCGAAAGCGUGGGGAGCGAACAGG
rnacentral:rRNA from 1 species